UACGGAGGGUGCAAGCGUUAUCCGGAUUCACUGGGUUUAAAGGGUGCGUAGGUGGGCAGGUAAGUCAGUGGUGAAAUCUCCGGGCUUAACUCGGAAACUGCCAUUGAUACUAUCUGUCUUGAAUACCGUGGAGGUUAGCGGAAUAUGUCUGUAGCGGUGAAAUGCUUAGAUAUGACAUAGAACAACCAAUUGCGAAGGCAGCUGGCUACACGAAUAUUGGACACUGAUGCACGAAAGCGUGGGGAUCAAACAGGGA
rnacentral:rRNA from 1 species